rnacentral:rRNA from 1 species
AUUGAACGCUGGCGGCAGGCCUAACACAUGCAAGUCGAGCGGCUGCAGGGAGCUUGCCCCUGCAUUCAGCGGCGGACGGGUGAGUAAUUCCUCGGAAUCUGCCUGGUUGUGGGGGAUAACGUCCGGAAACGGGCGCUAAUACCGCAUACGUCCUGCGGGAGAAAGUGGGGGACCUUCGGACCUCACGCUGUCAGAUGAGCCUAGGUCGGAUUAGCUAGUUGGUGGGGUAAAGGCCUACCAAGGCGACGAUCCGUAACUGGUCUGAGAGGAUGAUCAGUCACACUGGAACUGAGACACGGUCCAGACUCCUACGGGAGGCAGCAGUGGGGAAUAUUGGACAAUGGGCGAAAGCCUGAUCCAGCCAUGCCGCGUGUGUGAAGAAGGUCUUCGGAUUGUAAAGCACUUUAGGUUGGGAGGAAGGGCAGUAAGUUAAUACCUUGCUGUGUUGACGGUACCAACAGAAUAAGCACCGGCUAACUUCGUG